UUUAAAUAAGUAAGAUCCAUUAGCAAUUCUCAAAUAAAAUAAAAGUCUCGUUAUUCUCUCGUGCUUUCUUUCUUUCUUUCUUUCCGAGUCAUUCCAAAAUAGAACAGCAAUCUUUCCAUCUUUGUUUUCCUCCCAUAAAUUCCAUUCAUAUUGUCUAUAAAUACACCCUUUCCAUUAUAAUCACCACUUUCUCUCUUCUCGCCCAUUUUCCUUCGGAUCUCAAAAUCUCAUUUUGUACUGUAUCUGUCAAACAUCGCACUCCCUUCCCUUCUCUCUUCUUUUUCCGGGAAAAACUUGUGUUUGGUUGGUCUAGAUGAGAGAGGAAAUGGUGUACAAUCAGGGAGAGGAGAAAAGAGAAGAGAAACCGGAAUCGGAAUCGGUUUCCGAAGUAGAUAGAUGUUGUAAUAUUGUGGAGAGUAAUAAUGGGUUUUUUCUCCAGAAACAGAAGAGAAUGGUUGUGGUUGGAUAUGCUCUUACGUCUAAGAAGACUAAGAGUUUUUUGCAGCCUAAGUUUGAAAGAUUAGCUAGAACUAAAGGGAUACUGUUUGUUGCAAUUGAUCACAACAGACCUCUUUCUGAUCAAGGUCCUUUUGACAUUGUUUUGCAUAAGUUAUCAGGAAAAGAAUGGCGACAGGUUCUUGAGGACUACAGGCAAACACAUCCAGAAGUCACCAUUCUUGAUCCUCCAGAUGCCAUACAGCUUUUACAUAAUCGCCAAUACAUGCUUCAGGCUGUUGCUGAUAUGGGUUUGUGUGAAGACUAUGGAAAAGUUGGUGUACCCAGACAACUGGUUUUCAAGAAAGAUGCAUCAUCUAUCUGCAAUGUUGUUACAAAAUCCGGGUUGACGCUGCCCCUUGUUGCAAAGCCAUUAGUUUCUGAUGGAAGUGCAAAGUCGCAUGAAUUAUCACUUGCUUAUGAUCGGUACUCCCUCCAAAGGCUAGAACCUCCCCUAGUUGUUCAAGAGUUUGUUAAUCACGGUGGUAUUCUCUUCAAAGUUUAUAUUGUUGGUGAAGCUAUAAAGGUGGUCAGGCGUUUCUCUUUACCUAAUGUAAGUAGCCGAGAGCUCUCUAAGACUGCUGGGGUAUAUCGUUUCCCAAGGGUUUCUUGUGCUGCAGCUUCUGCAGAAGAUGCAGAUUUGGACCCUGGUGUUGCUGGUAGGUUUUGUUUUCAACAUGUCUUCUAUGGAACUCAUUGUGGCAUAACUUCCUCCACGACCCUUACUUGAGAGACUUGCAAAGGAACUUCGUCUCAGAUUGGGUCUUCGAUUGUUCAAUCUAGACAUUAUCCGAGAGCAUGGAAAGAGAGAUCAAUUUUAUGUCAUCGACAUUAACUACUUCCCUGGGUAUGGGAAGAUGCCUGAAUACGAGCAUAUUUUUACAGAUUUCCUCUUGAGCCCGGCACAAGGAGAAAACAAGAAAAGAUCUGGUUAAACACACCUCUUGGUAGUAACUGGUUUUUUCGAGGAAAGAAACAGUUGGGUAGUGUCUUUAACACAACAAAUGCAAAAAGAGGAAAGAGCACCCCAGUAAGUGUUAUGUAUAGGAAAUCCAAAUAAACAUACAAGAUUUCUACAAACAACUGAAGAGGGAGGGGAAAAAAACACGCGACUGGCCUUACCCCCUACAAUUUUCUGUAAUUACUUGCUCAUUUGUACAGACCUAUUUCUAGCUUAACUUGUUCCACUUAGUUUUAAUUCAUUUUAUUUUUUACCAUUUGGUAGUUGAAAUAUAAUUUGGGUUUUACUUUUCAA